rnacentral:rRNA from 1 species
UACAGAGGGGGCAAGCGUUGUUCGGAAUUACUGGGCGUAAAGGGUGCGUAGGUGGCGGGGUAAGUCAGGUGUGAAAUCUCGGGGCUCAACCCCGAAACUGCACUUGAUACUGCCUUGCUCGAGUACUGGAGAGGAGAUUGGAAUUUACGGUGUAGCAGUGAAAUGCGUAGAUAUCGUAAGGAAGACCAGUGGCGAAGGCGAAUCUCUGGACAGUUACUGACACUGAGGCACGAAGGCCAGGGGAGCAAACGGG